rnacentral:rRNA from 1 species
UGGGGAAUAUUGCACAAUGGAGGGAACUCUGAUGCAGCGACGCCGCGCGAACGAAGAAGGCUUUCGAGUCGUAAAGUUCUUUUAUAUGGGAAGAUAAUGACGGUACCAUAAGAAAAAGCCCCGGCUAACUACGUGCCAGCAGCCGCGGUAAUACGUAGGGGGCUAGCGUUGUCCGGCAUCAAUGGGCGUAAAGGGUUCGCAGGCGGAAAUGCAAGUCAGGUGUAAAAGGCAGUAGCUUAACUACUGUAAGCAUUUGAAACUGCAUAUCUUGAGAAGAGUAGAGGUAAGUGGAAUUUUUAGUGUAGCGGUGAAAUGCGUAGAUAUUAAAAAGAAUACCGGUGGCGAAGGCGACUUACUGGGCUCAUUCUGACGCUGAGGAACGAAAGCGUGGGUAGCAAACAGG